rnacentral:lncRNA from 1 species
UGAAGUCAGGAGUCCGCCUGGAGAACAGAGACAUAAAUUUCAAGUUAGCAGUCAGGAGUCCACCUGGAGAACGGAGACAUACAUUUCAAGUUAGCAGUCAGGAACCCGCCUGAAAAACAUGGGUGAUUUAAUUCAAAUUUUUAGUUUCCAAUAAAUAUCCUCGUCUAUUUUGAAGUCAGGAGUCCUCCUGGAGAACAGAGACAUACAAUUCAAAAAUUAGUAGUCAGGAGCCCGCCUGGAGAAUGGAGGUGUUAAAUUUUAGGUUAUAUUUGAAAUUGGGAGCCCGCCUGGAGAAUGGAGGUGUUAGAUUUUAAGUAUAGUCACAGUCAAGAGCCCGCCUGGAGAACAGAGGUAUACAAUUCAAGUUUAAGAAAUCAGGAUCCCACCUGUACAACAGAGAUAUUUCAAAUCAAGUUUAAUUCAAUUUCUAUUAAUAUCCAGUAACACGUACCCAGUUUCCAAACUGGGGCAGAAUGUUUUCUUUGUUUUGACUAUUUUUGUAAAGUCAGGAGCCCACCUGGAUAACAGAGGAAUACAUUCAAGUUCAAGUUUAUUCAAGUUCAGCAAGGUGGAGAGAAAGAACAUCUCAGUUAGCAAGUUGAAGUAACAACAAUAGAUUUUACCAAGGAAACACAAGACAACAAGGAAGUACAAUAUGCAAGUUUGAAGAUUGUAGAUAAGAUUUUUGUAAUGAGUAGUUUAUAGCUUAGGCUAGCUUCUUUUAUUUUUGAUUGAUGUAAUAAGGAAGGUCAGCAGGCAGUAGCAGCAGCGGCAAUUGCAGUGAAAUCACAGCUACUGAUAGUCCCAGCUACCAGACAUUCCCGAACUACACUGACCUGAUUCCUGUUUAGCCCAGGAUAUGUAGGCAACCUCUGAAGCAGGGUGCGGUCAAACUUUUCAAAAAUGCUUCAUACGAAAUUUUCAAAUGGGUAAAAAUCACUCAUAUUUGCUCACUUGUCUUUGCACGAAAACUGUUUGUGUUUCCGAGCAAUGAGGGCAGCUGUGAGCACAUGAUUUUUGCCAUAUAUAUGAAUAAUUCCCAAAAAUAUCCAAACAAAAUGACUUUUCCUUAUUUUUACAAUUUUUUUGAAUUUUUAUAUUAUUUUUUGUUAUUUGUUUGCAUUUUAUUUGCGCAUGUUAAUUCAUAUGAAAAUACAAAAAUAUGCAUUUGCAUUUAGGACAUAAUUUCAUAUUUUUAGGAUCAAUUUGGGGUUAGUUAAUCUUAGAAAAUGCAUGAAAAAUCACAAAUAUAUUUCAUUUUUGCAUCUUUAUUAGUUUGAUUAUGAAAUUGUCGCAAAAUAGUUUUUAAAGUAAUUUUAGGUAUUAAUUAGUUUAGUUUGAUUUUUUAUGUUAUUUCUGCAAUCUUUUAAAUCUACAAAAAUUAUAAAAAUUACAAAAAGGGAAAAUUAAAAUAAAGAGAAACUAAUUGAAAUGAAAAGCAAAAACAAAGAAGGGAUCUUCAAUUAAAAAAAACAAUUUGGGCUGAUCAAGUUUAAUUCCCCAUCCCCAAAACCUAAUCCGGCCCACACUCAAUCCCCAAUACCCGGCCGGACCACCCUAUUAACCAAACGACGUCGUUUUGUCGUCUCUCAAUCUUGGCCGUCGAGGUUCAUCAGAUCAAGCGGCCAUGAACUAAAACCCAUUUAUUAUAUAACUGUCCUAACCGACCCCCUACCCCCAUCGUCUCCCUCACUCCCCAUCUUCAGAAACCCUAGCCCAGCCGUCCUGAAAUUCCUUCGCCGUCAAUGGCGACGCCGGGGUCCAAACCCAACAAACACCGUUAGCUCUCCUCACUAUCCUCUUCCCAACCUUGCCUCCAUCCUACUUCAAAUCUAAGAACAACCCUUCAAAGUUUAGUUUAAAGUUCUGAUUCGAAACUCUAGUUCCUCCAAACGCACCCAAAUCAAUACCAUACAAUCUCCUUAACAUCCUUUACCCAAAUCUCAACCCAAAACCCUACAAAUCCGUUUUCAAAUCAUCAUGUCUGAGAUCUAGGUUUUCAGCUACACCUGUUCUCAUGCGGUUCCAGACAAUGUUACGCGUUUGUUGUGUCAAAAUGAACGCAUGAUAUUAUCUAGAGCCGUAUCGGAAGUCAAUCAGGUAGAUAUGAAAUCCAAGUUCAAGAGCCUGGAGUAAAGUUCAAUUGGUGAGUUAUUCGUUCUGUCCAUUUUCGUCUUCUCUUUCUCGUGUUAGUUUGAGUUAAAGUCCGUUGAUUCCAAGAUCACUUUUUGAGAAUUGUUCUUCGUUCUUUUGGGGAUGUUUGUUCGAUAUAGGUUUUAGGGUUAAUUUGUCAUCUGUUAAAUUGUUAGUUGGAUUAGUAUAGUUAACAUAGUGAUUAGUACUUUGCUUGCAGUUUUUUGUCGAUCCAAUAUUUGAUUAUCAACUUAUUUUCUUUUGAUCUAUUUUAAUCUUGUAUAAAUUGUUUGGUUCUCGUUUAAUUGGAUUAUUAUUUUGUUAGUUUACGCUUAGUUUAAUGGUUCUUCCGUAUUCAUUGGUAGUUUAAUUAAGCUUAAGCUUUGGAUAUAGCUGAGUAGUGUAGUUGAACAAACCUUGGUUAAAGUUUAACUAAGGCAAAAGAGGUUUGGUCAGGUCAGUAAUUUUUAGGAGUUUUCAAGGGUAGUUUAGGCAUAGAAAAGGGUAGUUCUGAUAAGAAUAGUAAUUUCAGAAUAUAAGAAAGGGUAACUUAGGAAUUGUAUAACCAAAAGAGCAUCCUAGAUGCUUCUAGAUUGGGAUGAAACUGUAGCUUUCAGUUUUUGGUAGUACUUACUUGGCUAGCAAGAUAAAAUUAUAGGUUUUAAAUAAAAAGGGGAAUAGGGACUGAUGUGCAAACCCUUUGACUGAAAUUUUCUUUCUUCUUGGCCUAUUUAAAUGCAUCAAUUACCUUGUGAAAGGGCGUUCUUCUUCAGCCAUUUUUGGUAGCUCACAAAACACUUUUUCCACUCUCCUAACUUGAAGAAAACCAUCUGAAUUUCAGAAAGAAAAUCAAAAAGAAAAAAAACAAACAGAAAGCAUUUUGGGUACUGUUACAUUGGUGAUUUACUUUAUUUUGAUCGAUUUUCUCCAUCUGGGAUUACUAGUUUGUUCUUGAGCGUUUGGGUUGAAUUAAACUGAGAUUUUAUAGAGUUUUGAUGCGUGUUGAUGUUAUGGAUGUCAUCUGAGUUCGUGUUUGGUAUUAGUGCUAUUUUGGUCAAAUUCUCCUCCUGUUUGGUACCUGGGCUAUUGAUCCAUUUUCUGGGCUGAGUUUACUCUGUAGUUCAAUUAUUUAUGCUGUCUGCUGCUGAUUUUUCUUCUCUUCAUUGCUGCUGCUGAUAUAAACUGUGAAGCAUGGGUUUGAAACUGAAUAUGAAAUGACAUUUUGAUUCGAAAUCUUAAACUGAUUCAUUUUGUAAUCUGUCAGUUAGUUCAAUGUGUAUUUGAAGUUGUUUCAUCGAGCAAGAUUUGGUCCAGAGAAAGGAAUUGCAAUAGUAUUGUAAUAUGUGGGUUGUUUUAGGAUAUAGUUGUUUAUGAAUACUUGCAAUUAGUGAUACAGCUGGACGCCUAGCCAUUAUAAAAGUUUCAAUGGUUUUUGCGUUUACUUGAGUGUGCUAUAUUAAAAUUUAACACUGAUGUUUUAGCUUGGUAUUAAAAUGUGUAGCGUUAAUGUACUCAAAUUUGGGUUGUCCUUUAAUAUUCUCUGAAAAAUUUAAAACCAGGACCUUAGGCAAGGCGUUGGGUUUGACGUUAGGUUAAUCACUGACCUGUUGUGAAUCGACCACAGGUCUCCAGUUGGACCGUUUUGAAGCCGUCGGGUGGCCCAAUUUGUUGGUUGAGUUGGACUGCUAAGUGCAAUUACUACUUUUGCCUAAAUUCACAUAGUUAAGUUUUCCCUUUUGUACAAGUGCUUAAUCAAACAAAAUUGUAGUCACUUUUUUUAGGAUUGACCUGUUAAUAAAUGUUGAGACGAACCUCGCCAAACAAAAACAAAUGCGUGACCCUCAAUAAUGGUUACAUAAAAUUGCUUAGAAAUCGGGAGGGUCGCUUAGCGAAUUUCGCGGCCUUCCCCAAAUAAUAUUGCGAUAGAAUCUUUAGACUCGUUUUAAUUAUAGUACCUUCUUAAACUUGGGUGUUCAUUGAUGCAACCCAAAUUCAAAUCUUGACGAAGUCAAAAUGUGUUGAUAACCACGGGUGCCUUGAUGGCGACGAGGUUAGAAACGCGUUUUCAUGACGUCGUAAUUCUUAUAAACAAAUAAUGAUCGAAAAGUGGUUCAAAAAUGGAGACGAGCCUUACCAAACAAAAUAAAUGUGGGGCCCUCAGUAAUUGGUUAUUAAAAAUGAUUAGAAUUUGGAAAGGGCCGUUUAGCGAAUUUCAACAGCCUUUCCCAAACAAUAUUACGUUAGAACCUUUAAGCGCGAUUUAAUUACAUUUAUCUUCUUAAAUUUGGGUGUGCGUUGAUGCGACCCAAAUCCAAAUCUCGAUGAAGUCAAAAUGUGUCAAUGACGACGGGUGCCUUGAUGGCGACGUGGUCAAAGACACGUUUUCACGACGUCGCAAGUCUUUUAUAAAUAAAAAUCAUAUAGGCUAGCAUGUAUUAAAAAUCAGAUAAAAUCAAAUACAACAGUUGAGCGACCGUGCUAGAACCACAGAACCCGGGAAUGCCUAACACCUUUUCCCGGGUUGACAGAAUUCCUUAUCCGAAUUUCUGGUUCGCGGACUGUUAACAGAGUCAUAAUCUUCCUCGGUUCGGGAUUAAAAUCGGUGGCUUGGGACACCAUAAAUCUCCCAAGUGGCGACUCUGAAUAAUUAAUAAUUAAUCCCGUCCCGAUUGUCCUUUAAUUGGAAAAACUCCUUUACGCCCUUUUGCGGGGGUGUAUAGUGAAAAAGGAGGUGUGACAAUUAGCAAAAGAUAAAAUUCAAAAAAAAAAUUUAAUGCACGUGUAAAAUAUGCACAGUUACUUGCAUGCAUAUAAAAGUUCUACCAAGAAAUUAUUUAAAACAAUAUACUCACUAGAUUGUGAUGACCAACAGAACAAGUGCGACAAAUAAAUAUCACAAAUAACUCACUCAACCAGAAAGUAUACAUCAGAUUUAAAAAGAUCAAGGAUGGAUAAACUUUGAAAGAAUGAAAAUCUAAAUUUUGAUCUUUACUAAGAGAGACUGUAAAAGACAAAGAAAGGCUGAAGGAAAAACUUACCAACUUAAUGAACUCACACUAAAAAUGAGUGAGGACCUAACAUUACAAACAAAGAGAUGAGACACGUACCAAUAGAACUUUGUUGUUAUUAAAAGGAAAGUGAUAAAUGGACUAAACAUACAUCAAUGACAUAUAUCUUUUUUUGCUUCAUACAUACACUUUCAUGAUUUUUCCACUUCUUCCUAUAUUUCCUCUUUUCCUCCUUGUAAUAGUCAUGUUUGAUCCAAGAAAACAAACACCCAAUGAUAAUUAGUAGCCUCUAAAUUUUGGUUUUCAAGUAUAAAAAAAGUUGGAUUGGACUAACAAUGAUGGUGGAGAAGGAAUCCAAUUCUAAGUUCAAGAAAUUGAAGAACAUGAAGAUGGUGGUGUUGAAUCUAGUGCUUCAUCACCACCCUUAUGGCAAAAUAGCCCUCCAAUAAGUCAAAUUUUAUUAUAGUAUAAAUUAUUGGUCACUUUCACCGAGUUCUAGAGCUCAAGCCAUAGCUAGAGGCCAAUGGGAACUCAUGGAAAUGGCCAAGAACAUGCAUGAAUCUUGCUAUGAGUUUUCUUUAAAGGAUCUUGUUGAGCAACCUACUAUAGCAUUUGAAUCUCAAAAAUUGCUUAAUCAAGAAGGAGAAAAACCAAAUUGUGCAGCAUAGUGUGAAGAUAAAGAGGCAAGAGAGUAGCAACAUGAAUAAGAAGAAUAACGAUCAAAUUAAGAUAGCCAAGAUGAUGAGAAGUAAAAGUAUUGAUAAUGGAGGGCUGUUUCUCAAGAUGGUUUCCCCCGUUCUUUUGAGACCAAAGAGGAAAAAGAAGAAUUCAGCAAAUACAACUAAUAAAGUUUCCCCUAAGCCUGAAGAGUGUGAAAACUCUUCAAAGAGUUUGGAAAAAGACUGGUGGAAGAAGAGAUUUUCUAGCUCAAGUAAGAGUGAUAGUAGCAGAACAAACAAUAUUAGUGGAAGCACAUGCAGAAAUAAAAGUAGUGGCAGCAGUUCUAGCAGCAUCACUAAUAGAAAGAAACAAUGGCAACAUGUAUAUAUCUUGAUCUUUUAAUUUGCCAACUCAAACAACUAUUGAUAUUUCUUCAGACCACUAAAGGAAUCCAACCAUCGUUUUGCAGGUUCAGGCGAACCCAAAUGAUACACAUAUGCAAGUAGAAAAGAACAAUGAAACUAUUAAUUUAUUCCUAAAAUCGUAUCUACAGAGUAUGCUUGAAAUAUAAAGCACGACCAUUUAAAAAUAUAACCAAACUUGUAACAUCAGAAAAAGAAAGUGUAGAAUGUAUCUCUUACAGUUGAAGUAGUGUCCAUUCCCAACUUGAGCAAUUUUUCCUUUUAAAACCCUGUUAAAUAAAAAUAAGGAGACCAUUAUAUUCCAAUUAAAUAAAUUACAAAUAUCCAAUAAUAUCAUGUAUUGAGAAUCUAAAAAUCACAAAAUAAGAACAGCGAAAAAAUGUAAACAAGUAGACCCACAUUUUAAGUAGCAAUCUGGUUGCAAAACUUUCAUAGCCGAGGAAGACCAGUUAGAAAGAUACUAUAAUGAAUUUACCAAGAAAACUGAAUAAAAAAAUAAUUACAGUAAUUUAUAUUUUUCGCUGAUGACUUUCUAUGAGCUGAAUUCAUAAGAAAUAAAAAUGGAUUUCGACCAAAUAAUGCCCACAAGGACCAAUUGCAAUAUCAAGGCUCAAUCUGCAGUCUGCGUUUCUAAUGGGGCAAAGAGAAGGAUACCAUACCAUAAUUGCAAAAGAACCUGUUGCAUGUGAUAGAAAAAGCCUCAAAUCACAUACCAUCCAAGGUUUUCAAGCCAACAUAUUGUCUGAUUGUGUCCAUGCCCAAAUAAAAAAAUCAGCAACUUAAGCAAGUCCAUUUCUCAAUUUCUCCGUAGCGAGAAAAUUGAAGCAACCGAUAACAUUUAAAUAGAACAGGAAAAGCAAAUAACACAAAAAAUUAAGUAGAAAAUACUGAAAAAAGGGAAAGAGGUAGAAGAAGCACUCAAGAGAGAAAGAGAAGGUGAAGAAGAAAGAAAAAUAAGAAGACAAAGGGUCUGGCCACAAUCAACACGUGAAAACCAGAGAAAGUUCAAAAGAAGUGAAGAAUGUAGUGAUUGUAAAAUUUGAGAAGAAGAUUAAAUCAAGAUUGAGGGUUUUCCUGAAAAUGAUGAGAAGAUGAAUCAAUAUGAAUAGUCCUUCGAAAACUAGGGAGAGUUUUAGAGUUUGUGUCAGAUAUAUUAACAAGG